GCCAAAGGAAAUGUUUUUACCAAGGCACGUUCCUCAAUAGCGGAGAGAGUUUUAUCCAGUGUCGGUUCUGCAGAAGAACCCAUUCAUAGCAGACCACCCAUUGCAGCACUUGUAAGGUCGCGAUAAAGAACCCGACAGACUCUGCGACCAAAAGAUCCCACUGACGUGUCGUCAAGCAUAAGUACUCAUGCAAUUAAAUACCCAUGUAUAUAAGAAUUUAUUAACAUGUAAUUAAAUGUACAAUUUUAUUUAUUUAUUAACAUGUACUUAAAUGUACUUUUUUAUUUAUUUUUUGUUUUAGCUUGACGAAGAUUUCAUCGAUCAUAGUGCACCGGGAUUUUAUCAAAAAAGAGUAAAAGUUGGGAAAAGGCGCCAUCACAUUUUUAGUACUGAUAGACAGAUGCAACUACUCGCACGCGCAAAAACUUGGUAUAUGGAUGUAAUUUUCGGGUGGUGAACAAGCCAUGGUCUCAGCUGUUUUCCAUCCACGCCUUCAUUAAGACUGGAGAGACCACCCGACAGUUACCAUUGGUGUUUUGUGUAAUGUCGGGUAAAAGCCAAGAAGACUAUUAUAAGUUUCCAUAUUAGAUGCCAUAGCAAAUCAAAGAUCAUAUAAUAAAAUAAGUCAAAAAACCCAAAUAUGGAAAAAGAAAGAGCUGAAGAAAUGGUGAUUUGAGCACCUAUGCUUUCUCAUAGGUGUUUUUGGAGGUUUCCAUAUUAGAUGCCAUAGCAAAUCAAAGAUCAUAUAAUAAAAUAAGUCAAAAAACCAAAAUAUGGGAAAAGAAAGAGCUGAAGAAAUGGUGAUUUGAGCACCUAUGAUUUCUCAUAGGUGUUUUUGGAGGUUAACUACAUCAGAAAGAUCAAGACAGUUGGAAAUGGCUAUUCAUAUUAUGGAAACUUUUUCUCACAGAGCUUAAUAAUCAGGUAAAAUGCUGGAAGAUUUAUUGAUGUAUGAUAACAACAAGAGAUCCCAAGCAUCAAUUUAUUUUAUAAUUCUGGAAAAGAAUGCAUUUGACCCAAUUUUUGAAUAUUUUUUUUUGUUUUUACUGUUAAAUAUUCAUCCCAAACACAAUUAGAUUUUAAUUCUCUACAGAAAUUUAUGUAUAAUAUAGAAUGUAAAGUGACAUAUAAAUCACUUAGAAUUUGGUCGGAAAUCAUAAAGUAUUUAAUAGGCAUAGUCUAGAAACCAAAUGUAGAUCAAAUAUACCCAGAAUUACAAAAAACCUUGACCUACAUUAAGGUGACUUUCCCUUGCUUAUGAAAUGAAAUAGGGUUUAAUAUCCUACUUUUCUGUGUUAUUAUGGUGAUUCUGCCCUACAACCUACUCUUAUAUCAAAUAUUUCAACUGUCAAGGGUUGUUUAAAGGGAACCCAGGAGGGCCGAAUGGUUAACACACGCACAUUGCAUCAGAAGGGUCUGUCAUUGAGUCAGAUAAUUCAAUUGUCAAGGUUCUUUAAAGUAAACGCAGUGGGGGUAGUUUCAAUUCUGGGCUUAUACCCAAUUAUCCCUUGCCAUGUCCUACACUACUGACGUGUGGGAACUAUGUCGGAAAAUCCAGUUGAAAUUUCUCGGCCAAUGCACUCACUGAACUACAGUGGCUCCUCCUUGCUUUUGACUUGUGAUUAUUUAUAUAUAUUUUGUACAUAUUAUUUAAUGUUUGCAAUUUUCUCUGAUAUUUUUUUAUUUUUCAAUCUUGUAAUCUUGAUGCUUUGCUCCUUUUAUGUACAAAAUAUUCAUUUUGUUUGUUGUUUUUUUUUUAACGAGGAAAAGGUUCUACAUCAUUUUAUUACUCCUGCAAAAUAGUGCAUUUUUCUUUUGUUAGUUUUCUGGGUAUGCUAGUUAUUUCUAGAUGCCUCACAAAUCACUUGUAAUAUGACUUUGUAGCACUUUUCAGGUUCUGAAAGUAUUUCAAUUUAGUGCAUAAUUAAUCUAAUUAGGGCUUGGUUUGGAUGUUAUUAAAUUUAGAUAUAUUUGAAUUAUAUAUUUUUGGGGUAUGGGGUAGGGAUCUUUCUUUUCUCAGUUCUUGUUUUCGGGUAAAGAAAAAAUUAAAUAGCUAUUUUGUAUUUUGUGAUGUGGGGUGGAGGGGGGCAAAGUAUAACAAAAAUUUUAUUAGUAUUAGAAUUAUAUCUCUGUUUUUCUGUUAACAUUUCAAAUGAUGUCUAUUUAGUUUUGAUUUGGUGGUGUUAAUUUACU